CGCGAUGAGUGGCUGGAACCGGGAAUGCUCAAGGUAGUGACAAGUAACAGAGUCCAGCACACCAGGUCCGAUUGCACCUAUCAGUUGGCUGUGAACUGGAGGCUUGUCCAAGGUUGCUGGAUCGUUUUAAUAUGCUAGAAGGCCCCGUAAGGCACUGUGAGUUUGGCACCUGGCACAGACAUAAGCUCGCUCAGGGUACAAAGCUGAAUUGGAGAUGGAGUCACUUCACACCUCUGCCACAGCAACACAAACUAGACUGAACUGGGUCUUCUGUUUUAAGUAGGAUUCAUCUCUCAUUCUCCGCAGGAAUAUUGCUGCGAUAAGAUGCUAAAAGAUAUGCGUCACUGCAUGGAUGCUUUGGAUUCAAGGCUUCUAAAAGGGCACCUGAUGAAAAGGCUGACACCCCCAAGAGUCAAAGUGUAAUGCAAACCCUGUUCCCAAGGGAUCGAUAUCUUUUCUGAAAUUCUGAAUGUUUCACGCUCCCAGGGAAUCGGGGAACAUGCAGCUUCAAAACUGAAACCACAUAUACAACAGGGAUGAAGGUUGGAAAAUUACAGCCCAGUGAUCCGUCCUUCUGAAGCUGUUACACGAGCCCUGGGCCCAAACCAAAACCAUUGAAGUCAAUGGGAAACUUUCUGUUGAUGCCACUGGAGGCUGGAUGAGAGCCCAUCCAGGAUGUGCAGGGAAAGUACGUGGUGUACCAGGCACUGACUGGAUUGCACAGGCUCUCCGUUCCCCAGAGCCUACUGCCAAAAAACAGAGGACUGCGGGAACCAAACUGAAGGCAUUCAUACCUUUGAAGAUCAAGGAUAUUUAUGAUGGAUCAUAACUGUGAUAUUCUCACUGCAAGUAAUCUAUAUGGAAUGAAUAUGCAGGAUCUCUAGUCCAUAAAGGACAGCGUAUUCAGAAUUAAGGUGGACUGUCUGGACUGGUGCUCUGAUCUUAACUUAUGCCAAAGUGCAAAAAGUAGAUUGCAAAAGCCAAUCAAGCUGCUUGUCCUCAGUAAAAGCCCUCAUUGGACCAAAGUUUGCUGCCUCGUCUUGGUCAAGCUGGCAGCCAGAAUUUGGCCCAUUUACUUCAAAUUUUAACUGCAUUUGUUUCCUAUUGUGUAUUGCUAGAUUCUCAGCAACAAUUUCUCAGUGUUUGUAGCUGAAUUUUCUUUGUUCUUUACAUAAUGAUAGUUUGACAAAAAGUUGUGAACUAUUGAAAUUCCAUAAACUUCUUAAUUAGUAAUGGACCAUGCAGAAUAAGUUUACCCUUCCCUUAAAAAGAUGUUUAAAAAACACACGUGGUUCAUGACAUUAAUGCAUGUUCUUUGUCGGCUAGUGUGAAAUGGAGUAUUAGGAGUAGUGGGUAAGAAGCCGUCUGGUUGUACUUAGAUGUAGAUAAUACAGUAGACAGUAUUGGUAAUUGUAGAGAUGGUUUAAUCAAUAGACCGUAAUGAGCAUUGCAGCCUCUAUA